rnacentral:rRNA from 1 species
UGGGGAAUCUUGGACAAUGGGCGCAAGCCUGAUCCAGCCAUGCCGCGUGAGUGACGAAGGUCUUCGGAUUGUAAAGCUCUUUUGGCGGGGACGAUAAUGACGGUACCCGCAGAAUAAGCCCCGGCUAACUUCGUGCCAGCAGCCGCGGUAAUACGAAGGGGGCUAGCGUUGUUCGGAAUUACUGGGCGUAAAGCGCGUGUAGGCGGCGUAGCAAGUCGGGCGUGAAAGCCCACGGCUCAACCGUGGAACUGCGUCUGAUACUGGAUGGCUUGAGGACGGUUGGGGUGAGUGGAACUCCUGGUGGAGCGGUGAAAUGCGUAGAUAUCAGGAGGAACACCGGUGGCGAAAGCGGCUCACUGGACCAAUUCUGACGCUGAGGAGCGAAAGCCAGGGGAGCAAACGGGAUUAGAUACCCUCGUAGUCCCUGAGCGGGCUGGCAAGGCGCAU